rnacentral:rRNA from 1 species
UAGGGAAUCUUCGGCAAUGGACGAAAGUCUGACCGAGCAACGCCGCGUGAGUGAAGAAGGUUUUCGGAUCGUAAAACUCUGUUGGUAGAGAAGAACGUUGGUGAGAGUGGAAAGCUCAUCAAGUGACGGUAACUACCCAGAAAGGGACGGCUAACUACGUGCCG